GACGUUCACUGCGCUUGCCUUGAU
rnacentral:miRNA from 10 species